CCUUUCUGUUGCGUCUGCCUAACCGUUCCGCUCGUUUCUCGAUCGCGCCAGAGAGAGAGAGAGAGAGAGGCAGUGGGAAUGGCGGACGAGCAGCAACUGCGGCACGUGGAGAGCAUCGCCAAGAAGCCUCGCGUCGUCUCCCUCCUUGCCUCCGAGAUCCGUAACCUUGAAACCGAGUUGUCUGUGGUUAGUGCAGCGGCAGUGGCAGCGACUGCUUUGAACAGUUACGUCCCACUUGGAUCAUUCAGCUGUGAUCAAGACAACGAGAAGAAGAUCAAGAUGUUUCUUUAAGGUGUCAAUGAAGAGAGGUGGAAACAAUUUUCAAGCCAAUGUAUGUGGACAUCAAAUUUCAUGAUAUUCAGGGAAAGAAUUAUUGAUGUGCCAUAGCAAAAUUAAAGAAGGAAAUAGUCCCUGAGAAAUGUAAGGUGGUAGUUAAGCCCACAAAAGUGAUCAUUACACUCUUGAAAGCUUCAACGGGAAACUGGUUGGAUGUUCACUUUAAGGAAGACAAGGACAUCUGAGUAUAUCAACAUCUUUCAAGCUCCAUGCUGGUUCGGGCCCCUCUUAAUUUCAAGUUCCACAUGAAUGGUUUCUAUUUCUCUUUUAAUGUUAACCGGUUUAUCACCUCUUUCCUUGUUUCUUUAAUUUUUCAAGAUUUAAUUUUCCUUCAACCAAAUUCAUAUAACUCUAAAUUUGAAGGAAAGUCAUGUUUGCUCAUAUAAAAAUACAGUAGAAAAGAUUCCCUUUCAAUAAAAAUUCCAUCUGUUUGUAUAACAACAACAGUGGAUGA